CUCCAGAGACACCUCCAGCAGCACAGUGUCCUUACAAGGGAGGAGCCUGCAGACUGAAGACACAGCUGUGUACUACUGUGUACGACAAUCACAGUGAGAUGAAGGGGGCUUAGAACUCAAUCCAGGCAGCAUAGGGCACCAGGCCAGGAUACAUCCUAGACGGGAUGCCUAAAAGCACGUCUAUGGACAUCAGAGAACCCAGUGGAAAGAGGUGGGAUUCAACACACAGUAUUGGAGGUUUGAGAAAAUAAGGUUACCGACAAAGGAUAAGAUUUUAGAUGUAAAACAAUGUUUUUUAACUUUUGUUUUGCCACAUGUGGUACUAAGGCUGAAGUAAAUACACAAAAUGGAGCAGGAGUAUUGCUAGGAUCUUAAGACACCAGGGUCUCAGCCCAGAGACCUGACCUGUCUGAGGGUCAUACUGAGUUCUCUCUCUCUCUCUCUGAUGUUAUCAGCACUGCAGCACUGCAGAGGUUUUGGGAAACGCAGCCCUGGACUGGCACUGCUGUGAUGUAUGAGAUUCUCAGAAUGAGAGCCUGGGCUUUAAAGAUCUGAGCUAAACAAUCAUUCGGGACUCAUUUGGAUUCAUUUGGGGCUUCAGUCCGGAAUCCCCCAGACUUGUGAUGCAUCUGUAAUGGACAUUAAGAUAAGACAGCGACAACUACUGCUCUGGGUUAUAUGGAUUUGGUUUGGGUAUAAUCAUGUGUCGUAUGUGUCAAAUAUAGUCUAAUAAAUCACUGAAUCAGUAAGUAUUUAUGAAAAUAAACAUGCAAUUUCAACUGCAAAUCUUUUGAAAUUAUGUUGAAAAACCUGAGUAUAUGAAGUUAUAAGUCCCUGUACAAUAGUACAGAUCCUGUUUUCUCAUAUGAGUCCCUGUAUAAUAGUACAGAUCCUGUUUCUCAUAUUAGUCCCUAUAUAAUAGUACAGAUCCUGUUUCUCAUAUGAGUCCCUGUAUAAUAGUACAGAUCCUGUUUCUCAUAUGAGUCCCUGUAUAAUAGUUCAGAUCCUGUUUCUCAUAUGAGAUCCCGCACUACCCUGACUCUGCCAUUUACCUUCAGUAUAUCUGCCCAGCCAGUGAGGAGGAGUUCAUGCAAAUUCUGACAUCAUCAUCAUAUAUUUAUCUCUCUGCACUGAGUGGUGACUGGAUCUGAAUCUGUCAGUCAUGGCAUCUUUAACGAGGUUCCCAGUAGUUCUGAUGGUUAUAUACUUAACAGGUGUUGAUACACAGACUCUGGCUGAAUCUGAAUCAGCAGUUAAAAAACCUGGAGAAUCACACAGACUGACAUGUACAGCCUCUGGGUUCACUUUUAGUAGCUACUGGAUGAGCUGGAUCAGACAGGCUCCUGGGAAGGG